rnacentral:rRNA from 1 species
UAGGGAAUCUUCCGCAAUGGACGCAAGUCUGACGGAGCAACGCCGCGUGAGUGAAGAAGGAUUUCGGUUCGUAAAACUCUGUUGUUAGAGAAGAACAGCGCAUAGAGUAACUGUUAUGCGUGUGACGGUAUCUAACCAGAAAGCCACGGCUAACUACGUGCCAGCAGCCGCGGUAAUACGUAGGUGGCAAGCGUUGUCCGGAUUUAUUGGGCGUAAAGCGAGCGCAGGCGGUCAAUUAAGUCUGAUGUGAAAGCCCCCGGCUCAACCGGGGAGGGUCAAUGGAAACUGGUUGACUUGAGUGCAGAAGAGGAGAGUGGAAUUCCAUGUGUAGCGGUGAAAUGCGUAGAUAUAUGGAGGGACACCAGUUGCGAAGGCGACUCUCUGGUCUGUAACUGACGCUGAGGCUCGAAAGCGUGGGUAGCAAACAGG